rnacentral:pre_miRNA from 1 species
UGGUAACUCCACCACCGUUGGCGUCGCUACCGCCAACGGGGGCCGAGUUCCUGCU